AAGGAAUAUUGGGCAAUGGACGCAAGUCUGACCCAGCCAUGCCGCGUGAAGGAUGACGGCCCUAUGGGUUGUAAACUUCUUUUGUACGGGAAAAAACCCCUGAUCGUGUAUCGGGGCUGAUGGUACCGUAAGAAUAAGCAUCGGCUAACUCCGUGCCAGCAGCCGCGGUAAUACGGAGGAUGCAAGCGUUAUCCGGAUUCAUUGGGUUUAAAGGGUGCGUAGGCGGGAUGAUAAGUCAGUGGUGAAAUCCUACAGCUUAACUGUAGAACUGCCAUUGAUACUGUCAACCUUGAGUACAUUUGAAGUGGGCGGAAUGUGUCAUGUAGCGGUGAAAUGCUUAGAUAUGACACAGAACACCGAUAGCGAAGGCAGCUCACUAAACUGUUACUGACGCUGAGGCACGAAAGCGUGGGGAUCAAAC
rnacentral:rRNA from 1 species